rnacentral:rRNA from 1 species
UACGUAGGGCGCAAGCGUUGUCCGGAUUGACUGGGCGUAAAGCGCACGCAGGCGGAUACGCGCGUGGGGUGUGAAAUCUGGCCGCUUAACGGCCAGGCGCCAUCCCAUACGGCGUGUCUGGAGCUGUGCAGAGGUCGGUGGAAUUGCCGGUGUAGUGGUGAAAUGCGUGAGAGAGUACGGCGCGAGGAACACCCAGGGGGAAACCCAGG